rnacentral:ncRNA from 2 species
CGGUAGAUUAAGGGGUGCCUGAUAAAUUGCAGGCUGAGAUUAAACCCUGGAACCUGAUACGGGUAAUUCCGGCGUAGGGAUAAACGGCCGAACUAAU